rnacentral:rRNA from 1 species
AAUCAACGCUGGCGGCGUGCCUAACACAUGCAAGUCGCACGAGAAAGUGGAGCAAUCCAUGAGUAAAGUGGCGCACGGGUGAGUAACACGUGAAUAAUCUACCUCCGAGUGGGAAGUAACUAGAGAGAAAUACUUAGUCUAAUAACCGCCAUAACACUUACGUAGUACAAAGACAGCAAUAGCGCUUGGUAGGAGGAGGUUCGUCGGCC